rfam:Triticum aestivum genome assembly, contig: Triticum_aestivum_CS42_TGACv1_scaffold_130097_2BL
UAAAUACUCCCUCCAUUCAGAAUUACUUGUCGUAGAAAUGGAUGUAUCUAGACAUAUUUUAGUUCUAGAUACACCCAUUUCCGAGACAAGUAAUUCUGAAUGAAGAGAGUAUAAC